GCGAGAACCGGGGCGUUGAGAAAGCUCGCUCCGUCCCCCCACGGUCCGGAGCUCCUCUCGCGGAGCGCGAGGCGACCUAGUAGGCCUCAAGGAGCGUCUGGCCUAGCGCGGGAAGGCCGGGACAGCCAGUGGCCUGGGUUAGUGGUGGGCGAAAUGUAUACCCCGGGCCUCGCUUAUGGACGUGGUAACACCACAGCAGAAAUGUCAGAAUACAUCCGGGUUACCGAAGAUGAAAAUGAGGAACCUAUUGAGAUCCCUUCAGAGGAUGAUGGGACUGUCUUGCUCUCCACAGUUACUGCUCAGUUCCCAGGAGCAUGUGGUCUGCGUUACAGGAACCCUGUGUCUCAGUGUAUGAGAGGAGUUCGAUUAGUGGAAGGAAUUCUGCAUGCACCAGAUAAUGGCUGGGGAAAUCUGGUGUAUGUUGUUAAUUAUCCCAAAGACAACAAGAGGAAAAUGGAUGAAACAGAUGCCUCAUCAGCUGUCAAAGUGAAACGAGCAGUGCAGAAAACCUCUGAUCUGAUAGUUCUGGGUCUUCCAUGGAAAACAACUGAACAAGAUCUGAAGGAAUAUUUCAGCACGUUUGGAGAGGUUCUCAUGGUGCAGGUUAAAAAGGACAUCAAAACUGGCCACUCAAAGGGGUUUGGUUUUGUAAGGUUCACUGACUAUGAAACCCAGGUGAAAGUCAUGUCUCAGCGCCACAUGAUAGAUGGAAGAUGGUGUGACUGCAAACUUCCAAAUUCUAAGCAAAGUCCAGAUGAACCUUUGCGUAGCAGGAAGGUGUUUGUUGGGCGUUGCACCGAUGACAUGACUCAAGAUGAGCUCCGGCAGUUUUUUUCCCAGUAUGGAGAAGUGGUUGAUGUCUUCAUCCCCAAACCCUUCAGAGCUUUUGCCUUUGUUACGUUUGCUGAUGAUCAGGUUGCCCAGUCCCUUUGUGGCGAGGACUUGAUCAUAAAAGGAAUCAGCGUCCAUAUAUCCAAUGCUGAACCUAAGCAUAAUAGCAGUAGACAACUAGAAAGAGGUGGAAGAUUUGGUGGUAAUCCAGGAGGCUUUGGGAAUCAGGGUGGAUUUCCUAACAGGGGGGGAGGUGGUGGAGGUGGUGGGUUGGGAAACAACCAGGGCAGUAACGUGGGUGGCGGGAUGAACUUUGGAGCCUUUAGCAUCAACCCAGCCAUGAUGGCAGCAGCUCAGGCAGCACUCCAGAGUAGUUGGGGAAUGAUGGGCAUGCUAGCCAGUCAGCAAAACCAGUCUGGGCCAUCGGGGAAUAGCCAGCCACAAGGCAACAUGCAGAGGGAGCAGAACCAGGGCUUCAGUUCAGGGAGCAAUUCCUAUGGAGGCUCUAACUCUGGUGCAGCGAUAGGAUGGGGCUCAUCAAACACAGGCUCUAGCAGUGGUUUUAAUGGAGGUUUUGGCUCGAGCAUGGAAUCCAAAUCAUCUGGCUGGGGAAUGUAGGCAACUUUAUACUGACUCUGUGGUGGGAAAUCAGAUUUUUUUUUCUAGAGCUCCUGGUAAGUAUAUUAUAAAAUACAUAUACUAAAACAAAACAAAAAUUCCAAAUCAGUUUGUUCAGCGUGUAGUAUAUUUCAACAAUAUUUUUGACACAUUUUUCUUUUGUAAGGGGGAAUACAAGGAAGGUUAAAUGGAGUUUUAUAGGUUUUGUUACAAUGAGUUGGAAUGAGUUGGGAUAUUGAGUGGUUUGAAAGUGAACUGCUGUUUGCCUGACUGGUAAACGGAAGCGCUGCAAUUUGACAGGAAUUCGUAAAAAUUUGAUUCCUCAUUUCCUAGUCAGCUGAGAUCUUUGCAUGUUUCAAAAAUGGAAGCCAUUUUUCAGAAACUGCAUCCUUUUUCCUUGUUAGUUUUUUUCUUUUAAAAUUUAAUUUGAUCCCCCGCCAUAAGAAUUUCUCUCUCUUUCUCUCCCUCCCCCUCCCCCAAAUGUCCUGUGUGGAGAAUGCAAUGUUGGUGUCGGCUUUUUUUCCUUUUAACACUGUCUCCCCUCCUCAUACUAAAGUACGGUAUGAAGACCUCAUUUAAUCCUUGCAGUUCAUCUCAUUUCAAAUGUGUAUGGAAGAAGCACUUCAUUGAACGCAGUGCAGUUAAAAAAAAAAAACCCUGCCUUAGGAAUACUCCUGUCUCCAUGCUUUCCUCAUCCAAGACUCCUUCAUCACACUGCACAUGCUACGUCUUAAAGACGCACUUGCAAUAAUACCAGCUACUGCUGCUGAGUAACACUUAAUAUGGUAUUCUCGGACCUCCAAAGACUAAACUCUGUCAUCUCGGGAAGGAUCAUGAGGGUAAGUUUUAAUACAUCGCUAGCAUGGUUUCAGUAUUUAUUUUCAACGUUUUUUUUAAGUCUAGGGCCAAGGGGGAAAACACAUGCUGUGAUAUUUUAAUCCCAUCAGAGCACUGAGGGUUCUUAUCUCCCCUCCCUCAAAUCCCUAAGUGUAUUAAAUGUUUUCAAACAUUAUUCAUAUCUUUAAUUUUUUUUUUCUGCCACUGUAUAAAGCAAGUUAAUAAAAGGUAUU